UACGAAGGGGGCUAGCGUUGCUCGGAAUCACUGGGCGUAAAGGGUGCGUAGGCGGCUUGGUGGGUCUGGUGUGAAAGCCCCGGGCUCAGCCCGGGAAGGGCACUAGAAACUGCCGAGCUGGAGUGCCGGAGGGGAGAGUGGAAUUCCUGGUGUAGCGGUGAAAUGCGCAGAUAUCAGGAAGAACACCCGUGGCGAAGGCGGCUCUCUGGGACGGUACUGACGCUGAGACGCGAAAGCGUGGGGAGCGAACAGG
rnacentral:rRNA from 1 species